rnacentral:siRNA from 1 species
CAAGUUCUCUCUUGCAGCCGUGAC